rnacentral:sRNA from 1 species
UACUUUGAUGGAUUUCCCUUUUAUGA